AUCAUGGGGCCGGCGACCGCCCCACGAGGCGUCAGCCGAAGAUCGCGUUCCACAACACCCGCCAGACGGAGGAACGCACAUG
rfam:Palleronia marisminoris strain CECT 7066 genome assembly, contig: 0009